GAUGAACGCUGGCGGCGUGCCUAAUACAUGCAAGUCGAGCGAACAGACGAGGAUCUUGCUCCUCUUACGUUAGCGGCGGACGGGUGAUUAACACGUGGAUAACCUACCUAUAAGACUGGGAUAACUUCGGGAAACCGGAGCUACUACCGGAUAAUAUAUUGAACCGCAUGGUUCUUUAGUGAAAGACGGUUUUGCUGUCCCUUAUAUAUUUAUCCUCGCCGCAUUAGCUAGUUGGUAAGGUAACGGCUUACCAAGGCAACGAUGCGUAGCCGACCUGAGAGGAUGAUCGGCCACACUGGAACUGAGACACGGUCCAGACUCCUACGGGAGGCAGCAGUAGGGAAUCUUCCGCAAUGGGCGAAAGCCUGACGGAGCAACGCCGCGUGAGUGAUGAAGGUCUUCGGAUCGUAAAACACUGUUAUUAGGGAAGAACAAAUGUGUAAGUAACUAUGCACGUCUUGACGGUACCUAAUCAGAAAGCAACGGCUAACUGCGUG
rnacentral:rRNA from 1 species